AGAAACAAAAACAGAAACGAAGAUAUCCAUGAUACCUAAUGUUACAAGGAGAAGAAAGCACUUGUAAUCACAAGGGUACUGAGAAAAGAAGUUAAAUGAAAAAUGGAUUGUGGAUUAUAGCCUGAGCAGAUUUGAGCCUAAAUGUAAUAUAACAGCUUGUGGCAAAUGGAGGUAGCAGGAGAGUAGAGCCAACUAGCCAAAAAUCCCCUGGAAAGGUGAAACUGAAAUCACUCAUUCAUUCAAAAAGUGUUUACUGAGUAGCUUCAAAGAGCAAAUAUUAGGUUAGAUGCAGUGGGUGAUGUAAGGAUGAUUCAGACAACUAUUUCUCAUGGACUUUGCUUACUGAGCCAUCAACACACGGCCACCUUUUUCUAGAUGAAGUAUCCCAUCAUUUGAUUCUGGAUUGAGAACUCUUUGAGAGCAGAGACGAUGGCUUCACCUGAGUAUCCCCAGAGCCUGACGUUAGACAACUAUGGUUUUCCUGAACUUAAUCCUCUGGAUCUUCAGAGCAGAGAAAGUGCACCAUUCAAAAGUGGACAGCAACAGCAGUGCAGCCCCUUUCUGGACAUCCUUGAAAGACGGCAGUGAAGGAAAUUUCUCCCAGUGGGCAGAACUUCAAACACAGCACCUGGAGACACACUGGCAAAGGAAAUAACCAGAGGCAAGUUCAGCUGUAUUGUGGAAAAAAGGAUUUAAGCAAAGAUUGAACCUGGUGAAAUGCGGAUAGCUGGUCCACUUGAGGACAUUCCAUUUCUUCGCUUCUCCAAUGGAGCAGGUUUCUGCACGCAGCUCACAUGCUUAUAUGUAUGGUGGCAUUGCCUACUCUCUACCCAGUUGUCCCAUCAACUCCCUACACUCUACACCACUGAAAUCUGUGCAAACAAGAUCAAGCUACUGAUCAUCUUCUGAACAAUGAAUUCUUUUCUGACAGGGAAGGAUUGUUCUGCAACUCAUGCGGAGCACCAAGGGUGCUGGAGACUCAGGUCCAUAGAACCCAGCUUUACCAUACGGAUGUGCAUCAUAACACUGUAUCAUGAUAAUGCAAGACUAAACACCUGACUUGAUGCCCAGGGCAAUGAUGCUGUGUUUAUCAAACAAUAAAACUAUUAUCUUAAAAAUCUGUUUAACUUGAAACCAUCCUAGAUGAUUCAAUACCUCAAGGCUUUCAAGAGAACAAACAUUGUGAACAACGGCUUGACUUUCUUACGAAGAGAAUUAAUUAAAUUGUAAACCAAUUUUUACGCACCCUGAUGAUUUUUUAUGUUGUUUCCUGAGCCGAGUAUCCUUGAGAAAUUCAACAGUGAUAAGUAAAAUUGCAUUGUAACUGCUCAGGAUUUGUUCAACAUUCAGUGUUUAUUGACCAGAAGCAGUUAAAGUGUUUGGGUAAGGAAUAUAGACUCAGAGCAGACUGCCCCAGCUCCAACCCAGCUUCUCCACUUAAUAGCUAUGAAGUUGAGCAAUUUAGUGAACCUCUCAGUGCUUCAGUUUUCUCUAUAAAAUGGGGAUAAUUUGAAUCUAUCUGCAGAUGCCACGUGGGUUAAAUAAGAGCAUAUGGGCUUAUAACAAUGCCUGAAACAUAGCAAGUGCUCUAUAGAUGGUAUCCAUUAAUGUAAGGCCUCCAUAGAACAGACAUUUGACUCAAUAUAGCAAUAUAUUAAAUAUAUUCAUAUAAAUUAAACAUGGUGACUAACUUCAACUAAUUUCCAUCACAGUGGGGACAACAAAACAUGUAUUUAAAACCCACACAUUAUUUAAGGACCAGAUUAAAUGCAUCAAAAUCUUCAUUAAUUCCAUGUUGUUCAAUGUAAUCUUUCCCACAGCAACUUAAAUGUACUUCUCUUUAACAUGUUCUACCAAGUUUUAUAAUUAAUUAUGUACAUGUCUAUUCUUUCCUACCAGAUUCUGAUAUGCUUGAGACAGAUUCACUUCAUCCUCUUUCUGCAUGCCUGGUUGAAUGACUGGCACAUAGUAAAUGCUCAAUAAAUGUUUGAUAAAUGAAUGAAUAACAAUAUAUAAGGCAUUAUAUGGUGACGAAAGCAUCACACAAAAGCAUCACAACUGAAGCACAAUUAAGUACCAUAAACAUUAGCCUUCAUCUACUGCCAUGACAGCUGAAGAGAUCCAGAGAGAUCCACUCCUGAUGUGCAUUCGUAGGGCGAGUUUUACAAAAAACAUGGCACAGGAGGAGGUUCUUAAAUGUUUAAACACAGCACUCAGUCUUAUAGAGGCUCUGCUUCUUUAAUCGGCCCUUUCUAAUCUUCUCUCCUCAUUGUGAAAUUCGGGAAAUAUGUUUCUUUACAUGCCUCCUCAAAUUUACAGAACUGGCCCAAGCAUUGAUUUUCUAGACAUAAUUCACUCCCAUUGCAGAUGUCCUAGGAAAUGGAGAGCUCUAUGACAGAAGUACACAUCAUGUGUCCAAAGUAACUUCAUAAUGGUUUCUGGGUUGUUAAAACAGGAAGAAACCAUUGCCUUUUAGAGGAAAGCUACAGUAAAUGUCACCAUAUGAAUAAACAUUGCAGUGACAUGCUUAAGCCUGGUUUUACUUGUUAUGAUUAUGUUGUCUGACUCUUACCACCAGAAGUGUUUCCCUCAUAUUUUCCUUCACAUUAACAUUUACGAUGGAGGGGCAGCAUUCCCCUUUGCUCACAUUGGCCAAAAUUAGUCCCUUUACACCCAGCAAUAUUUCAACAGUCACAGACCAGUGAGAGACCAGCAUAAACCCAGCUUGCUAUGGGCCUCAGCAUGUUCCACCAGCUUUACUCCAGCCAACAAAACUGCCAUUUGGAAUCCAUCUGCUGCAUUUCACGGACCUAAAUUCUGACCUAGUAGGUAGUCACUGAACUCGAACUGAGCAGAAAGGGCCAGAGGUUCUAAAGGGAAACAUUCUUCAGCGCCACUACAUGUGCCCUAAGACAUGAAACACCUAAGACAGCACCUUGAGGCAUAUUUUUCAGUGCAGAAGUAGCAGAAAACAGAACAUGACUCCCCACCCCUUCUUUAUAUUCCAAUGAGAUUUGCUAGUUUAACCAGAGCUGCAGUACAAAAGCACUUGUGGUUCAUGUUAUAUUAAUAGUGUGGCCUGAUUAUCAAAAACCAUUACUCUUGGUUAUCUUGCAGCGGCUGUACAGAGCUGCUAUAAGUCAGAGUGACUGCCCACACA
ensembl:lncRNA PKN2-AS1 PKN2 antisense RNA 1